AGUGAACGCUGGCGGUAGGCCUAACACAUGCACGUCGAACGGCAGCACAGUAAGAGCUUGCUCUUACGGGUGGCGAGUGGCGGACGGGUGAGGAAUACAUCGGAAUCUACUUUUUCGUGGGGGAUAACGUAGGGAAACUUACGCUCAUACCGCAUACGACCUACGGGUGAAAGCAGGGGAUCUUCGGACCUUGCGCGAUUGAAUGCGCCGAUGUCGGAUUAGCUAGUUGGCGGGGUAAAGGCCCACCAAGGCGACGAUCCGUAGCUGGUCUGAGAGGAUGAUCAGCCACACUGGAACUGAGACACGGUCCAGACCCCUACGGGAGGCAGCAGUGGGGAAUAUUGGACAAUGGGCGCAAGCCUGAUCCAGCCAUACCGCGUGGGUGAAGAAGGCCUUCGGGUUGUAAAGCCCUUUUGUUGGGAAAGAAAAGCAGCAGGUUAAUACCCCGCUGUUCUGACGGUACCCAAAGAAUAAGCACCGGCUAACUUCGUG
rnacentral:rRNA from 1 species